rnacentral:tRNA from 1 species
GAGGGUAUAGCUCAGUUGUAGAGCACAUGCUUAGCAAACACGAGAUCCUGAGUUCAAUCCCCAGUACCUCCA